rnacentral:tRNA from 1 species
GGAGAGUUGCUCGAGUGGUUGAAGAGUCACGCCUGGAAAGUGUGUGUACGCCAAAAGUGUACCGAGGGUUCGAAUCCCUCACUCUCCG